rnacentral:rRNA from 1 species
AUUGAACGCUGGCGGCAUGCUUUACACAUGCAAGUCGAACGGUAACAGGCCUUCGGGUGCUGACGAGUGGCGCACGGGUGAGUAAUGCAUCGGAACGUACCCAGAGGUGGGGGAUAACGCAGCGAAAGCUGUGCUAAUACCGCAUGUGAUCUGAGGAUGAAAGCGGGGGACCGAGCAGCAAUGUUUGGCCUCGCGCCUUUGGAGCGGCCGAUGUCGGAUUAGCUAGUUGGUGGGGUAAAGGCCUACCAAGGCGACGAUCCGUAGCUGGUCUGAGAGGACGACCAGCCACACGGGGACUGAGACACGGCCCAGACUCCUACGGGAGGCAGCAGUGGGGAAUUUUGGACAAUGGGCGCAAGCCUGAUCCAGCAAUGCCGCGUGCGGGAAGAAGGCCUUCGGGUUGUAAACCGCUUUUGGCAGGAACGAAACGGUGUCCGCUAAUACCGGGCGCUAAUGACGGUACCUGCAGAAUAAGCACCGGCUAACUACGUG